rnacentral:rRNA from 1 species
UACAGAGGGUGCAAGCGUUGUUCGGAUUUACUGGGCGUAAAGCGUAUGCAGACGGUUUGGUAGGUCGGAUGUGAAAGCCCCGGGCUCAACCCGGGAAUUGCAUCCGAAACCACCUCACUCGAGUGUGGGAGAGGGAAGCGGAAUUCCUGGUGGAGCGGUGAAAUGCGCAGAUAUCAGGAGGAACACCCGUGGCGAAGGCGGCACUCUGGGCCGAUACUGACACUGAGGAGCGAAAGCGUGGGGAGCGAACAGG